UACGUAGGUGGCAAGCGUUGUCCGGAUUUAUUGGGUUUAAAGGGUGCGUAGGCGGUCUAUUAAGUCAGCGGUGAAAUACUCCAGCUUAACUGGAGGGUGCCAUUGAUACUGAUGGACUUGAGUCAAGUCGAGGUAGGCGGAAUUGACGGUGUAGCGGUGAAAUGCUUAGAUAUCGUCAAGACACCAAUAGUGAAGACAGCUUACUGGGCUUAAACUGACGCUGAGGCACGAAAGUGUGGGGAUCAAACAGG
rnacentral:rRNA from 1 species